CCUACGGGUGGCAGCAGUGGGGAAUAUUGCACAAUGGGGGAAACCCUGAUGCAGCGACGCCGCGUGAGUGAAGAAGUCCUUCGUUAUGUAAAGCUCUAUCAGCCGGGAAGAAAAUGACGGUACCUGAGUACGCAGCCCCGGCUACCUACGUGCCAGCAGCCGCGGUCAUACGUAGGGGGCAAGCGUUAUCCGGAUUUACUGGGUGUAAAGGGAGCGUAGACGGCAGUGCAAGUCUGGAGUGAAAGGCGGGGGCUCAACCCCCGGACUGCUCUGGAAACUGUACGGCUGGAGUGCAGGAGAGGUAAGUGGAAUUCCUAGUGUAGCGGUGAAAUGCGUAGAUAUUAGGAGGAACACCAGUGGCGAAGGCGGCUUACUGGACUGUAACUGACGUUGAGGCUCGAAAGCGUGGGGAGCAAACAGGAUUAGAUACCCUGGUAGUC
rnacentral:rRNA from 1 species